rnacentral:lncRNA from 1 species
GGAAGCCAUCUCGGUCUUUCUGGUCUUCAGUGCACAGUGGCCAGGACAGCCUCCCCCACUUCACCGAAUCACAUUUCUUCAGCAGUUUCCAAUAGUGAAAUCAUUUCUAGAACAAUGGCUGCUAACACGUGUCAGCUGAAGCACUGCAGAUCGAGUCAUCCAACUCAAGCUUCUUCCUCUUAUUUCUGGAAGGGAUAAACCAGGCCAGGUGGAAGGGCUCAAAUGCGCUGCUUCUGGAAGCGUCCUGGGUCCCCCUCUGCUCUGGUACCUUUGGCUUGCACCUGAGCAUCAGGAGACCCCAAGAGAGUGUGAGCCAGGAGCCAAGACCCAGGACGCCACUGACCUCGGGAGCCCAGGAGGACGCGCUUCCCAGGAGCCACACAGCUGCUGAGAUCGACACUGGCCCAAAGGGUUAAGAGCUUGGACCUUGGCUUCAGGGGCACCUUUGCCCAGAGAA